CACCAAGGCAAGAGCCCAGGUCUCUUGGCCUUGGCAACAGGCCUUCCCUGACAUUCAGACAGCCUCAGGGCCUUUCCUAUCUUUCUAAACACUUUCUUUCUCUCCUGUAGAGCUGCCUUAUUACAGCAAUAAAAAUAACAAGGUCCCUGCAGACCUCUUUAUAAAGAACAAUUUAGAGCCAGGAGUAAGUGUGAGGAUUGGGAUGAAAAUAGGCUAUCACAGUGCUAAUGUGAUAUACAGGUCAAAAAUCCCAACUGGUACAUGGAGCAAAAGAAUGGGCUCUGCUGCAGCAGGGGCAAGGGCAGCCACACCAUGGAGACAAAAGGCAAGACCUGCAGAAAAUGAAAGGAUUUCAUUCCCAUCUCCUGCUUCGUUUCAAAUGGAGGGUAAAGACGAAAGAGGCUAGGAUUUGUAAGGAGGAUUUCAGGGGAAGUGAGGUGUUCCUCUGCUUACACAGAAAUUUUGAUUACCUGCUUCAGGGCUGUUCUGUUCUAUGAUCCUUUCUUCCAGAGUGGUUGCCGUCCAAUACCUCUCAGUCUGAAAGGCUCCUGCUCUGCCUGGCAGCUGGAGCAGAAAGUGCUCCAAGCACGGGAGCCCUGACAAGGGGGCUCUUCUACUGACUUCCACUGAGGUGUGCUAGAUUCCAGUGUUUGCUCUGCAGCUCAGGAGAGCAGGCUCUGCUGGGCAGGAGGAGCUGCCCAGCACUGGGAUUUCCUGUGCGACAUCUUCCCUGCCA
rnacentral:lncRNA from 1 species